AGUGGGGAAUAUUGGACAAUGGGCGCAAGCCUGAUCCAGCCAUGCCGCGUGAGUGAUGAAGGCCUUAGGGUUGUAAAGCUCUUUUGUCCGGGAAGAUAAUGACUGUACCGGAAGAAUAAGCCCCGGCUAACUUCGUGCCAGCAGCCGCGGUAAUACGAAGGGGGCUAGCGUUGCUCGGAAUCACUGGGCGUAAAGCGCACGUAGGCGGACUCUUAAGUCGGGGGUGAAAGCCCGGGGCCCAACCCCGGAACUGCCUUCGAUACUGGGAGUCUUGAGUAUGGUAGAGGUUGGUGGAACUGCGAGUGUAGAGGUGAAAUUCGUAGAUAUUCGCAAGAACACCAGUGGCGAAGGCGGCCAACUGGACCAUUACUGACGCUGAGGUGCGAAAGCGUGGGGAGCAAA
rnacentral:rRNA from 1 species